rfam:Ixodes scapularis strain Wikel colony gcontig_1108378916132, whole genome shotgun sequence.
GGUGGAGUGGUGGAGUGGUUAGCACACUCGACCGGACAUUGGGAGGGAGGCCCAGAGUUCAAAUCCUGGCUCCACCG